AAUUAUUGAUAAUAAUACAUAGGAUAGUGAUGAUAGCUAUUAUUUAUAUCACAACUACUAUGAUCAGACAUCAUGCUAAACAAUUUUACAAAUAUUAUCUCAUUUGAUCCUGCCAACAACCCUGGAAAGUAGAUACUAUUAUCUCCUUUUUGCAGUUAAGCAUGAACUGAACUUAGAAAUCAAAAUCACACAUAAAUUUGUCAUUCGGUAGAAAGAUUUGCACACACAAUAACUGAUGAGCAACUUCACUUCAGAAUUCUCCCUUUUUGCAUCUUUCCUUCAAAGCCUAAUGAAGCAGAAUGGUGACUUGCUGGAGACUUGUAUUCUGACAACUGACAACUUAUUGAAGUCUUUCCAUUCAACUUGUUUGUGUGACUUUGGGCAAGUCAACUUACUUCUUAGUACUCUAUUUCUUCAACCUGUACUUACUCCACAGGAUUGUUGGCCAUCUGUAGGAUCAUAGAGGGGUCUGUGAGGGAGGAGAUCACCCUUACAAAUGAAGUCAUCAUCUUUGAAGAACAGAAGGGAAUGAUGUCCCCAGUGGCUACUGAUAUUUUUGUCUUCUCUCCUUUACCAUAUUGUAAGUUCCAUGAGAUGAAGAAACUGAGUCUGGGAAGAGUUAAUUGACUUCAGGAUCACAAAAUUAGUUAUCUCUUAGUUUAGUCUUUUCAAGGCUGAAGAAUCUUAAUUUCACUAACCUUCCAUCAUAUAAUAGAUCUCUUCUUGGAUUUGAAAGGUCACAUAGAAGAAGGAUGAUAUUUGUUUCACCUAAGUAUAACUGAGUAAUGGAGUGAAAGUUGCAAAGAGGUAGAUUUCAGUUCCAUUCAAAGAAAGCUUUCUAAUGAUUAGAGCCAUACAUAGUAGGAACAAUCUGCCUUAAAAUAUACUAAGUUGCCUAUUAAUGGAGGUAUCAUGCUUGGUAAUCUGGAAGAGCCAAGUUCAAAUCCCACCUCAGUAAUAGCUAC